rnacentral:rRNA from 1 species
AGGAAUCUACCGAGUAGUGGGGGACAACCUGGUGAAAACCAGGCUAAUACCGCAUACGCCCUACGGGGGAAAGCAGGGGAUCUUCGGACCUUGCGCUAUUCGAUGAGCCUGCGUUGGAUUAGCUAGUUGGUGGGGUAAGGGCCUACCAAGUCGACGAUCCAUAGCUGGUCUGAGAGGAUGAUCAGCCACACUGGGACUGAGACACGGCCCAGACUCCUACGGGAGGCAGCAGUGGGGAAUAUUGCACAAUGGGGGAAACCCUGAUGCAGCCAUGCCGCGUGUGUGAAGAAGGCUCUAGGGUUGUAAAGCACUUUCAGUGGGGAGGAAAAGCUGGUAGUUAAUACCUGCUAGCCGUGACGUUACCCACAGAAGAAGCACCGGCUAACUCCGUGCCAGCAGCCGCGGUAAUACGGAGGGUGCGAGCGUUAAUCGGAAUUACUGGGCGUAAAGCGCGCGUAGGCGGCUUGUUAAGUCGGAUGUGAAAGCCCCGGGCUCAACCUGGGAACUGCACCCGAUACUGGCAAGCU